GUUUCCUGUCUAUGGCACCUGUGCUAUUUGACACUAGUUGGCUGAUUUUUUUUCUACUGUGUUGGCACGAAGACUAAACGAAUCCUUUCUCUGCUACCUGAAGUUUGCUGCAGAGUGCAAAGUUAAGUCUACCUGGACUUGGCCAAUUGGCCGCAAUGAACAACAGGGUCUAUUCCUACCACCUGGUGGUGUAAGCACAUUGAAUUUCAAACUAAGAGGAGGGUCGUCUCCAAACGCUAGUUGCAUACUCGCUGGCACAUUGUCCAAGUUCAAAGCCAAUCUCCAUCCCUCAUUUUCUUAUGUUUUGUCUGAAUAUCAGCGAAUUCUUAGUUGGGAUGUCGGCAAUAAUUUUGUAGGUUUGACACUGUUCUUAGCACAUAUAGGUCGGGACCGACUUUAGCCAUUCAUCCAUCUACCUCCAUAAACUCGAGAGCUGCCGCAUUUCAUCAGCCGUUACAGCUAUGGUGACAUAAGGCUGGCUCAGUUGACAAAUUACAUCUACGCUAAUAUAUGUCUGGCUCCAUUGACUUUCUUGUCA